UGGCUCUCGCAUCGAUGAAGAACGCAGCGAAAUGCGAUAAGUAAUGUGAAUUGCAGAAUUCAGUGAAUCAUCGAAUCUUUGAACGCACCUUGCGCUCCUUGGUAUUCCGAGGAGCAUGCCUGUUUGAGUGUCAUUAAAUUCUCAACCUUCCAGCUUUUAUUAGCUUGGUUAGGCUUGGAUGUGGGGGUUGUGGGCUUCAUUAAUGAGGUCAGCUCUCCUUAAAUGCAUUAGCGGAACUUUUGUGGACCGUCUAUUGGUGUGAUAAUUAUCUACGCCGUGGAUGUGAAGCAGCUUUAUGAAGUUCAGCUUCUAAUCGUCCAUUGACUUGGACAAUUUUUGACAAUUUGACCUCAAAUCAGGUAGGACUACCCGCUGA
rnacentral:misc_RNA from 1 species